GGACGAACGCUGGCGGCGUGCUUAACACAUGCAAGUCGAACGGAAAGGCCCUGCUUUUGUGGGGUGCUCGAGUGGCGAACGGGUGAGUAACACGUGAGUAACCUGCCCUUGACUUUGGGAUAACUUCAGGAAACUGGGGCUAAUACCGGAUAGGAGCUCCUGCUGCAUGGUGGGGGUUGGAAAGUUUCGGCGGUUGGGGAUGGACUCGCGGCUUAUCAGCUUGUUGGUGGGGUAGUGGCUUACCAAGGCUUUGACGGGUAGCCGGCCUGAGAGGGUGACCGGCCACAUUGGGACUGAGAUACGGCCCAGACUCCUACGGGAGGCAGCAGUGGGGAAUAUUGCACAAUGGGCGGAAGCCUGAUGCAGCAACGCCGCGUGCGGGAUGACGGCCUUCGGGUUGUAAACCGCUUUCGCCUGUGACGAAGCGUGAGUGACGGUAAUGGGUAAAGAAGCACCGGCUGACUACGUG
rnacentral:rRNA from 1 species